rnacentral:piRNA from 1 species
UAGUCAACACAGGUUUUCUAGUAGGCAGCU